GUGGAUUAGAUACCCUGGUAGUCCUAGCUGUAAACAAUGGGCACUAGGUGUUGUCGGUAUCGACCCCGGCAGUGCCGAAGCUAACGCAUUAAGUGCCCCGCCUGGGGAGUACGACCGCAAGGUUAAAACUCAAAGGAAUUGACGGGGGCCCGCACAAGCAGCGGAGCGUGCGGUUUAAUUCGAUGGUACGCGAAGAACCUUACCCAGACUUGACAUGCGAGUGGUAGGGACCCGAAAGGGAACCGACCCGCAAGGGAGCUCGUACAGGUGUUGCACGGCUGUCGCCAACU
rnacentral:rRNA from 1 species